UACGUAGGGCGCAAGCGUUAUCCGGAAUUAUUGGGCGUAAAGAGCUCGUAGGCGGUUUGUCGCGUCUGCCGUGAAAGUCCGGGGCUCAACUCCGGAUCUGCGGUGGGUACGGGCAGACUAGAGUGAUGUAGGGGAGACUGGAAUUCCUGGUGUAGCGGUGAAAUGCGCAGAUAUCAGGAGGAACACCGGUGGCGAAGGCGGGUCUCUGGGCCGAUACUGACGCUGAGGCACGAAAGCGUGGGGAGCAAACAGG
rnacentral:rRNA from 1 species